rnacentral:rRNA from 1 species
AGCUAUGUGCGGAAGGGAUAAGUGCUGAAAGCAUCUAAGCAUGAAGCCCCCCUCAAGAUGAGAUUUCCCAUAGCGUUAAGCUAGUAAGAUCCCUGAAAGAUGAUCAGGUUGAUAGGUUCGAGGUGGAAGCGUGGUGACACGUGGAGCUGACGAAUACUAAUAGAUCGAGGACUUAACCAU